AAGUUGAUUAGUCUUUAUGUGUAAAUUUCUCCAAUUGACUAAUAUAAAUCAUAUAUAUGAAAGUUGGCCAACUCUCUCCAAAUGAAUGACACAUCAUCACAAAAAAAAAUGACAUGUGUCAUUCUAUAUUUUUUAAAUUA
rnacentral:sRNA from 1 species